CCACCUUCAGGUAGAUGUCAAAUCCUGUCACAACUCGACAAACAACAUGCGGCUGGGAUGCGUGGCUUUUGUGAUAUUUUUUCUCCGCAGAUGCCUCGGUGAUGGUUUGAUACAGAAUCAGCUGUCCCUCACCUCACGUGUGGGCAGAUAUGUCAUAAUCACCUGCGAUCUGGACGAAGUGAGCACGACUGUCAUCCACUGGUACCGGCAGCCAGUGGGGCAGCGUCCGGUCAGGAUCCUUUAUUAUAGUAAUGGGGUCAACAACCGGGACGAUGGAUUUAGUGACAGAUUUAGAGCGAGGAACGUUGGAACCAAACAGUUUGUUCUGACGGUGGACUAUCUCAGGCCAGAGGAUUCCGCCACCUAUUACUGUGCCUAUUGGGACACACAGCGUUAAACUGCAACCGACUCCGCUGACAAAAAAAAAUCUCUUCCGCCCCUCAGUGUAGCUGUCACACAAACCACUUCCGACUCGCAGAGACACAAAAGUGCUGGAGGGAACUCUGCAGGUCAGGCAGCAUCUAUGGAGGGAAAUAAACAGUCGGCGUUUCCGACAGAGACCCCUCGUCAGGACUGGAAAGGAAGAGGGCAGAAGCCAGAAUAAGAAGGUGGCGGGAGGGCGAGGAGCACACGCAGGCAAGGAAUAGGUGAGUUCAGGUGAUAGGUGAGUCCAGGUGAUAGGUGAGUCCAGGUGAAAGGGAGAAGGUUGGUGGGGGAGGGUGGGGAGAUGUAAUAAACUGAGAGGUGAUAGGUACCUUCUAUGACUGACGUAGUUUUUAAAGAAUGGGAUAGAUUGGGUAUUACAGCACUUGUUUUCAGGAUCUAUUUGUUGGAGGAAAUUUUGCUACGUUUGAACAAUUGUCAAUUAAAUAUAAUUUACCAAAAACACACUUUUUUCGAUAUUUGCAAAUCAGAGACUUUCUCCGAUCUCAAGUACAUACAUUCCCUAUAAGUCCUGAUAAAAACUUACUAGAUGCAAUUUUUAAUUUGAAGCCUCUUUAUGAUGAUUCAAUAUCUAAGAUUUAUGGUAGGUUAUCAGGAACGAAUAAGGCUCCUUUAGACAAAAUUAAAAAUGCUUGGGAACAUGAUUUGCAGAUUUCAAUUUCUGAGGAAACUUGGAAUGAAAUUUUUAAAUUGGUUAAUAUUUCAUCAUUAUAUGCGCUUCACUCCCUCCUCUUCAAUUUAAAGUGGUCCAUAGAGCUCACCUGUCCAAAGACAAGUUAUCACAUUUUUAUUCGGAUAUAUCUUCUUAUUGUGAUAAAUGCAAGAAUGGAGAGGCUUCCUUAAUUCACAUGUUUUAGUCAUGUCGAAGUCUUAAAAAAUACUGGAUCAAGGUAUUUCAAACUUUUUCUGUGCUUUUUAAAAUAAAUUUUAAGCCAAAUCCUUCAACUGCUUUUUAUGGGAUUGUUGGAGAAAAAGAUAUAAUUUGGGAGACUUCUGACCUACACAUAUUUCCUUUAUUUCUCUUGUAGCCAGGAGGGCUGUGUUGCUUAAAUGGAAUGAAGUUACUCCCCCCACUCAUGUUCAAUGGCUAUGGGAUAUUAUGUCAUAUCUAAACUUAGAGAAGAUCCCUUGUUCAAUUUCUGUAUGUAAUCUGGACUAUCAAAUAUUGUGGGGACCUUUUUUGAACUACUUUCAAAACCAUUGAUUUGGUGCUUAAAGUACAGAUACUGGCUAAUACUAUUAUGUCUUCAGGGCUUUUUUUGUCUUUUUUUUAACCAAACAACUUCGGUCUUGGUA